rfam:Schistosoma mansoni strain Puerto Rico chromosome 6, complete genome
AUUUGGCUGACGAGUCCCAAAUAGGACGAAACGCGCAUCCUGAAU